UACGUAGGGGGCAAGCGUUGUCCGGAUUUAUUGGGCGUAAAGAGCUCGUAGGUGGUUCGGUAAGUCGGAUGUGAAAUCUCCAGGCUCAACCUGGAGGGGUCAUUCGAUACUGCCGUGACUAGAGGUCGGUAGGGGAGUGUGGAAUUCCUGGUGGAGCGGUGAAAUGCGCAGAUAUCAGGAGGAACACCCGUAGCGAAGGCGGCACUCUGGGCCGAUACUGACACUGGGGAGCGAAAGCGUGGGGAGCGAACGAGG
rnacentral:rRNA from 1 species